AACGAACGCUGGCGGCAUGCCUAACACAUGCAAGUCGAACGAGACCUUCGGGUCUAGUGGCGCACGGGUGCGUAACGCGUGGGAACCUGCCCUUAGGUUCGGAAUAACUCCCCGAAAGGGGUGCUAAUACCGGAUAAUGUCUUCGGACCAAAGAUUUAUCGCCUUUGGAUGGGCCCGCGUUGGAUUAGCUAGUUGGUAGGGUAAAAGCCUACCAAGGCGACGAUCCAUAGCUGGUCUGAGAGGAUGAUCAGCCACACUGGGACUGAGACACGGCCCAGACUCCUACGGGAAGCGGCAGUGGGGAAUAUUGGACAAUGGGCGAAAGCCUGAUCCAGCAAUGCCGCGUGAGUGAUGAAGGCCUUAGGGUUGUAAAGCUCUUUUACCCGGGAUGAUAAUGACAGUACCGGGAGAAUAAGCGCCGGCUAACUCCGUG
rnacentral:rRNA from 1 species